rnacentral:misc_RNA from 1 species
GAGGUUGUCUCUGCCUAAUGGUGGUUAGUUCUCUCAAUCUCUCUCUCUGAUUUGCUUCUGAAUUUUGUUAAUUCUAACUCCUGCUGGUCCCGUGAGGUUAUUUAGCUUUUAAAGAUUGGCACUGCUCUUUUCUCUCUCUAGGUUACUCUCACACAAUUUAAACUAAAAUCAUGUCCCAAUCCCUUAUUUCAAAUUGUUCCAUCAACACAUAGCAUAAAGGAGCAAUGGCAUUCUGAGUUCCUUAAGAAUGGGUCUAGUUCUACAAGGAUCUAAAAGUGUUUCCAGUGACUAGCAAAUAUUUUCUACUUGUUUAUGCUUUCUAAAUUUUGUUUAAUCAGGGGGAGGUGCUGGGGGUCAAGCA